rnacentral:rRNA from 1 species
UACCAGCACCCCGAGUGGUCGGGACGUUUAUUGGCCUAAAGCAUCCGUAGCCGGUUCUACAAGUCUUCCGUUAAAUCCACCUGACUUAACAGAUGGGCUGCGGAAGAUACUAUAGAGCUAGGAGGCGGAGAGGCAAGCGGUACUCAUGGUAGGGUAAAAUCCGUUGAUCAUUGAAGACCACCAGUGGCGAAGCGGCUUGCCAGAUGCGCUCGACGGUG